CAAGAUUUCAGGUCCAGACCAUUCUGGCCUCAUAUUUCUCCACUGCUGUGUCCAAGAGACAUUUUUGGGCUUCAGUUGGAAUGAGCCAGGCCCAAAGAUUUACCUUUGGAGGAGAGAGAUGAAGUUCUGUGGCAAAGGAACAAACCCGUACACGUGAUGCUGUUUUCCGAUGGCAAAGUGAAGAUGACCUCAAUGCUCUCCAUAAGUCAUCCCUGAGAGUUACGUUCCAGUCCCUUGGGCUCACACUGUCCGCAGAAGUUCUGGAAACAGCGUAUCUUAAUGAUAACACCUGCCCCCUUGGGUUGAAUUGACCCGGAACAUCUAGAAUGGGAGGAAAGUGUGCAAGUUACAUCCGUAGAGUAGUUUUGUGAUUCUGGUUUCUUUCUUUGCUUCCUUUUGUUUUGUUUUGCUUCCUGUUUUUGUAUGGACAUGAUUCAUCACCCCAACCCGUGGAGAAAUAGUAACUUUUCCUCUGUAUCUUUGUGUUCUCGGAAUUUGGUUGCGUAGCCCAUUGCUUACGGAGUAGAAGACGCUGAGCUUAAAGCCUAUCUAUAAGAUGGUUCUGACACUGUUUAAAAGGUUUUCUUUAGAGCCUUUUAAAGACUUCUUUAAGGUUCCCUGAGUCCAGCCAAAUCAUCCCCUGAACUCACUUCUCAUUGCCCUUCCCAUCCCAUUUCUGGUCUCCAUGGUUCCAGAUCUGUCUCCCUGUGGCUUCUGGACAGUUCAGCAAACAUCAGGUACCUGUUGUGCCCCCGGCACUGUUCUGGGGGCUGGAGACGCAGAAGCGAACUGACAGAGAAAACCAUACUCAUGGAUAGCUGUGUCUCUUGGGGUCAGAGAAGACAAGCCAAUAGAACCUCUGUGCCCAGCGUGGGGCCGGUACUCAGGACCCCGAGAUCAAGAGUCUCCUGCUCUACUGACUGAGCCAGCCAGGCGCCC